rnacentral:lncRNA from 1 species
CAUUUUUUCAGAAUUGUGCAAACUGACCCUGCACUUACUGGGUUUCUGAUAGUUACUAAGGAUUAAAACUGACUAAGUCAUGAUCUCUGCCCUCAAAGGCCUCGCAGUCUAAUAGGGAAGACAAACAAAUAGUUGCAAUACAGAGAGGUAAGUGCUGUAGGAGAGGGACACAUUAGGAGUAGGGCAGAUCCCAGAGGCCCUAUAUGUACAUUAUAGAUAAGUAUGUAUUUAUAUGUUUAUGUAUGUGUAUAAAUAUAUAUCUACAUCUAUCUACAUACACGCCCAGUAGAUGAACUAUACAUAUAAAUAUGUAAUAUA